UCAAUUUAUUCCAAAACCUCCUUUACUGACACAUCAAUCUGGGACAGUUCCUCAGAUAUGUCACCUAAAAUGAAUAGCUCAGGUGUGGAAAUCUUCCUUAUCCUCUGCAGUGUAGACA